CAGGUAGAAAUGACUGCUCUACACCCUGCCCUGAAGGGCAGAAAUUUUCCUGCUUCGAAUUAGAAGGAACUUGCUCUUGUACAUGUGCGGAAACUUCCAACCCCUGCGAUGAUCUCCGAGCCAACGAAUGUCCAGAAGGCUAUUUCCGUAGAUGCCGCACUGACAUCAACGGAUGUAGUUGCCGAUGCGAUGUUUAGCAGCAGCCUACGCCCAGGCAAGCUGGGAUCGCAUUGACUAUAUCAUUUUACUUCUUUAAGAAAAGUGCUUCGACCAGCUGAUAUCAGCGGCGGCUUCACUUAACUCUCUUCAACUGGUGUGAUAGGGGAUGACUUUUUAAAAAAGUUUACUUACAGUCUUUAAUAAAGAAGCUGAGCUUUUUC